UCCCUGGUGGUUCAGGGUUAGGACUUGGCGCUUUCACUGCUGUGGCCCCAGGUUCAAUUCCUGGUUGCGGAA
rnacentral:tRNA from 1 species